UGGGGAAUAUUGGACAAUGGGGGCAACCCUGAUCCAGCAAUGCCGCGUGUGUGAAGAAGGUCUUCGGAUUGUAAAGCACUUUCGACGGGGACGAUGAUGACGGUACCCGUAGAAGAAGCCCCGGCUAACUUCGUGCCAGCAGCCGCGGUAAUACGAAGGGGGCUAGCGUUGCUCGGAAUGACUGGGCGUAAAGGGCGUGUAGGCGGUUUACACAGUCAGAUGUGAAAUCCCCGGGCUUAACCUGGGAGCUGCAUUUGAUACGUGUAGACUAGAGUGUGAGAGAGGGUUGUGGAAUUCCCAGUGUAGAGGUGAAAUUCGUAGAUAUUGGGAAGAACACCGGUGGCGAAGGCGGCAACCUGGCUCAUGACUGACGCUGAGGCGCGAAAGCGUGGGGAGCAAACAGGAUUAGAUACCCUGGUAGUCCACGCCUGUAAACGAUGU
rnacentral:rRNA from 1 species